rnacentral:rRNA from 1 species
AACGAACGCUGGCGGCAUGCCUAACACAUGCAAGUCGAACGAGACCUUCGGGUCUAGUGGCGCACGGGUGCGUAACGCGUGGGAACCUGCCCUUAGGUUCGGAAUAACUCCCCGAAAGGUGUCCUAAUAACGGAUAAUGUCUUCGGACCAAAGAUUUAUGGCCUUUGGAUGGGCCCGCGUUGGAUUCGCUAGUUGGUAGGGUAAAAGCCUACCAAGGCGACGAUCCAUAGCUGGUCUGAGAGGAUGAUCAGCCACACUGGGACUGAGACACGGCCCAGACUCCUACGGGAGGCAGCAGAGGGGAAUAUUGGACAAUGGGCGAAAGUCUGAUCCAGCAAUGCCGGGUAAGUGAUGAAGGCCUUAGGGUUGUAAAGCUCUUUUACCCGGGAUGAUAAUGACAGUACCGGGAGAAUAAGCUCCGGCUAACUCCGUG